rnacentral:rRNA from 1 species
UACGGGGGGUGCGAGCGUUGUCCGGAAUCACUGGGCGUAAAGGGCGCGUAGGCGGAUGGCACAGUCAGAUGUGAAAUUCCCGGGCUUAACCUGGGGGCUGCAUUUGAUACGUGUUGUCUUGAGUUCGGAAGAGGGUCGUGGAAUUCCCAGUGUAGAGGUGAAAUUCGUAGAUAUUGGGAAGAACACCGGUGGCGAAGGCGGCGACCUGGUCCGACACUGACGCUGAGGCGCGAAAGCGUGGGGAGCAAACAGG